GUCAGGUGCAGUGGCGCACACCUAUAAUCCCAGCAGCUUGGGAGGCUGAGGCAGGAGGAUCUUGAGUUCAGAGACAGCCUCAGCAAAGGCGAGGAGCUAAGCAACUCAGACCCUGUCUCUA
rnacentral:sRNA from 1 species